GAGCCCUCAGCUGCUUAACCAACAAGAAAAUUAUCAGACAGGUUUAAUUUAAUUCAUGCCAGGCCUAAUGAAAAAGUGUUCCUUUAAUUUUUGUGAGCAGUAUAUUUCAUUUUCUUUAGUAAAUAAGGAUUCUCUGACAAAUGUUUGGAUUUAAUGAUCAAAUAUAAAACAAAAAACACAAAGUUUCUAAUAUUGCUUUACUAAAUGUCAAUGGCAAUUACAUUUUUUGCUAGUAAAUGUCUUUAUUUCAUUUAACCCAAGUGUCCUUACGGCACCAAAUAAUAUUCUGUUUCCUAUUCUAAUUUCACAACAGUACUUUUACAUUUUGGAUGUGUGUCCACUCAAACGGUCUUAUUUUAGUUAGCUUCCUGUAAACUUAAAAUAUUAAUGUUAAAAUAUCUUUGUAUGAAAAGGGCUAUGUAAGCAAAGUUUUGUGGAGUUUACAUUUAAACAGUUUUUAAUCGUGCAGUAUUUCAGUUUUUGUGAAGUGUUGUAGUGUAUUUUUGGUUGUACUUGUGUGCUUUUGUUCCAACUGCUUCAAUUUUUUAAAAAACAUUAUGCAAAAAAAAAAUAAUAUAAAUAUUACAUAUAUAAUAUAUAUAUAAUAUUAUAAUAUUACAUUUUCAUAUAUAAAACUUGGAACUAAAAUACAAAACUAAUGGGAAAAAAAAUUAUUAAAUUGGCAAACAUUUACAGCAAAACUUGAAAAACUUUGAAAUGACUCAAAUGUUCACUUUUGAAAUGAUAAUUUAAUUAUUUUAAAUCUAUCUGGUAAUUCUUAAUUUUGGGGAAAUUUGCUUUUCUGGUGAAAGAUGUAAGAUGUCCUGCAUUCCUGACGUCGUGAUUUAUUUCCAGUUGUUGCAGGUUCAGAUUUCCAUCAUCAUUUGCAUUUAGUUCUUCCAUACCACACUGGCAGCACGACUGCCAUCAAACCACCAAAUCUUUAUUUACUCCCUGUUCCCUCAGUGGUACAGAAGUCCUGGACGCCCAGGCAAAGCAGAUCACAUUUGUCUGUCUGUGGUAGAGGUUUAUUUGUGAUGGAAGAAAAGAAACUUAAAGAGUGGAACACAGCUCUCUGUGAUUGCUUGAAGACCCAGCACCUGUAAGACGAAUGUAGACAGCCAUAAAUAUAAAUACAGACUUUUUGAUCAGAAUGCAAAAGUUCAUUAACCACAGGCUUUACUGCGAAAAGAUGAGAGCACAUCUUUUAUGAUGCCAAGAUUCCAAUAAAGUUGUCAGUGA
rnacentral:lncRNA from 1 species